AGGAUGAACGCUGGCGGCGUGCCUAACACAUGCAAGUCGAACGUCCUGUCUCGCAAGAGGCAGGGAGUGGCGGACGGGUGAGUACCACGUGGGUCAUCUACCGUGAGGUGAGGAAUACCGGCGAGAAAUCGCCGACAAGACCGCAUAGGCUCGAUGCAAGUCGAGCAAAGCUCUUUCGAGAGAGGGAGCGCCACACGAGGAGCCUGCGCCCGAUUAGCUAGCUGGUGGAGUAACGGUUCACCAGGGCGACGAUCGGUAGCUGGUCUGAGAGGACGAUCAGCCACACUGGGAUUGAGAACGGCCCAGACUCCUACGGGGGGCAGCAGUGAGGAAUUUUCGUCAAUGGGGGCAACCCUGAACGAGCAACGCCGCGUGCAGGAGAAGGUUUCGGAUCGUAAACUGCUUUCUCGGGAAGAGAACGGACGGUACCCGAGGAAUCAGCCCCGGCUAACUACGUGCCAGCAGCCGCGGU
rnacentral:rRNA from 1 species